UACGGAGGGUGCAAGCGUUAUCCGGAUUCACUGGGUUUAAAGGGUGCGUAGGUGGGCAGGUAAGUCAGUGGUGAAAUCUCUGGGCUUAACCCAGAAACUGCCGUUGAUACUAUCUGUCUUGAAUAUAGUGAGGUGAGCGGAAUAUGUCAUGUAGCGGUGAAAUGCUUAGAUAUGACAUAGAACACCCAUUGCGAAGGCAGCUCGCUACACUAUCAUUGACACUGAGGCACGAAAGCGUGGGGAUCAAACAGG
rnacentral:rRNA from 1 species